rnacentral:lncRNA from 1 species
UUGAAGUCAGAUCAAUUACCCUACAAACCAUCUCUCCUAUUUGAGCUAUUUCCCUUCUUCUCCGGUGACAUACCAUCGAUUCCUACAACCAAAUACACCACCGUCCUGCUCCUUCUUACUUGCCCACAUACCAUCUUCUUCGCCGGAGAUCACCGUACACCACCUCCAUCACGGCAACCACUGCCGCCACCCACAACACAACCACCGGCGACGAUUCACCUCCUUCUUCAUUCCGACCGACCUCCGAUUAUUUCAUCGGAGAACAUCCUGAUAUCCGGCGAACGACCAUCGAACCACCACCACCAUCGACUGCCACCAUGCUGACCGAUUACCACCGAGUGACCACCAUCGUCUCUCACAACGACCAUCGUCUCUUACAACGAUCAAGCAACCACCACUGUUCAUCUUUGAUUAAUACUAACGUUUUUUAGUUUUCUCUAACUUGCAGUCAACUCGGGAAUUCAGGUGUGAAUGUUUACUAUUUCUCUAUGGUUAUACAAAAUAAAUAUGAUGUGUUUCUGAAAUUUGGAGAUUAUUGGGUGAGAUUGAUAUGUGAAUAUUGGAGCUGAUUAUUGAAAAAAAAAUAUAUAUAUAAAAUACAUGUUUGCAUACAGAGAUGUCAGGAGUUGGUUUAGGCGAGAUGUGGGUGGUUACAAUCAAACUAUGUGAGGAAGUUGAAAUCGUGAUUUGGAGGUGAUAGCUAUAGGAUGAAAUCAUGAUUAC